GACGAACGCUGGCGGCGUGCUUAACACAUGCAAGUCGAACGAAGUGGCGAACGGGUGAGUAACGCGUAAUCAACCUGCCCUUCAGAGGGGGACAACAGUUGGAAACGACUGCUCAUACCGCAUACUGAAGGAGGGCAUUGCGUCUGAUUAGCUAGUUGGGGGGGUAACGGCCCACCAAGGCGAUGAUCAGUAGCCGGUCUGAUGGGAUGAACGGCCACAUUGGGACGGAGACACGGACCAGAGUCCUACGUGAGGCAGAAGUAGGGAAGGUGCGGAAAUGGACGAAAGUCUGACCGAGCAACGCCGCGUGAGUGAAGAAGGUUUUCGGAUCGUAAAACUCUGUUGUUAGAGAAGCGGUAUCUAACCAGAAAGCCACGGCUAACUACGUGCCAGCAGCCGCGGGAAUAC
rnacentral:rRNA from 1 species